GACGAACCGUGCGAACGUUGUUCGGAAUCACUGGGCUUAAAGGGCGCGUAGGCGGACACUCAAGUCGGUGGUGAAAUCCUCCAGCUUAACUGGAGAAGAGCUGUCGAUACUGGGUGUCUCGAGUGGUGUAGGGGUCUGUGGAACUUUGGGUGGAGCGGUGAAAUGCGUAGAGAUCCAAAGGAACGCCGGUGGCGAAAGCGACGGACUGGACACCUUCUGACGCUGAGGCGCGAAAGCCAGGGGAGCAAACGGG
rnacentral:rRNA from 1 species